rnacentral:rRNA from 1 species
GACGAACGCUGGCGGCGUGCUUAACACAUGCAAGUCGAACGGAAAGGCCCUGCUUUUGUGGGGUGCUCGAGUGGCGAACGGGUGAGUAACACGUGAGUAACCUGCCCUUGACUUUGGGAUAACUUCAGGAAACUGGUGCUAAUACCGGAUAGGAGCUCCUGCUGCAUGGUGGGGGUUGGAAAGUUUCGGCGGUUGGGGAUGGACUCGCGGCUUAUCAGCUUGUUGGUGGGGUAGUGGCCUACCAAGGCUUUGACGGGUAGCCGGCCUGAGAGGGUGACCGGCCAAAUUGGGACUAAGAUACGGCCCAGACUCCUACGGGAGGCAGCAGUGGGAAAAAUGGCACAAUGAGCGGAAGCCUGAUGCAGCAACGCCGCGUGCGGGAUGACGGCCUACGGGUUGUAAACCGCUGUCGCCUGUGACGAAGCGUGAGUGACGGUAAUGGGUAAAGAAGCACCGGCUAACUACGUG